rnacentral:rRNA from 1 species
AUUGAACGCUGGCGGCAGGCCUAACACAUGCAAGUCGAACGGUAACAGGAAGCAGCUUGCUGCUUUGCUGACGAGUGGCGGACGGGUGAGUAAUGUCUGGGAAACUGCCUGAUGGAGGGGGAUAACUACUGGAAACGGUAGCUAAUACCGCAUAACGUCGCAAGACCAAAGAGGGGGACCUUAGGGCCUCUUGCCAUCGGAUGUGCCCAGAUGGGAUUAGCUAGUAGGUGGGGUAACGGCUCACCUAGGCGACGAUCCCUAGCUGGUCUGAGAGGAUGACCAGCCACACUGGAACUGAGACACGGUCCAGACUCCUACGGGAGGCAGCAGUGGGGAAUAUUGCACAGUGGGCGCAAGCCUGAUGCAGCCAUGCCGCGUGUAUGAAGAAGGCCUUCGGGUUGUAAAGUACUUUCAGCGGGGAGGAAGGGAGUAAAGUUAAUACCUUUGCUCAUUGACGUUACCCGCAGAAGAAGCACCGGCUAACUCCGUG